rfam:Phlebia centrifuga strain FBCC195 PHLCENscaffold_905, whole genome shotgun sequence.
GGGCGCAUGGUGUAGUUGGUUAUCACAUCCGCUUAGCAUUGAAGCACUUGCGGGGGGUGCUGGGUUCAAUUCCCAGUGCGUCCA